rnacentral:rRNA from 1 species
GACAGAGGGUGCAAACGUUGUUCGGAUUUACUGGGCGUAAAGCGUGUGUAGGCGGCUUGGCAAGUUGGAUGUGAAAGCCCACGGCUCAACCGUGGAAGCGCAUCCAAAACUGCUUCGCUCGAGUCUCGGAGAGGAAGGUGGAAUUCCCGGUGUAGCGGUGAAAUGCGCAGAUAUCGGGAGGAACACCAGUAGCGAAGGCGGCUCGCUGGGCCGUUCCUGACGCUGAGACGCGAAAGCUAGGGGAGCGAACAGG